UUAGGUAGUAGUAAAAAUAGCAGUUCUCAACUCAAAACGUCAGUAGAAUAUCAUUUUAGUUUUCAAAUCUUAGAAUGAUGGCUGAGUUUGCAAAACAGUAUUCAAAACCUUGGCCCGAGAUCAAAUAAUAUGAACAGUAAUGCAAAAAUAAUAAUAUCAAUACCUGAAGGAUUCAAAUAAUGAGCAUGAGGCCCAAAUCAUGGCAACCAGCCCAAAUCAUGAUAGCAUUAAGUAGUUUCAGCCAAUCACAGUAAAAUCAACAACCGAGUCGGACCAAGCCACAAUCUCCAAUGGUGCUCUACCCACGCUCAUACCUGGCAUGCAAGUCACCACAAUACACCACUAUGAUGUGCAAAUUCGGGAUUUCAAACCUCAGGAUAUCAUUUACAAGUAUUACUCACCUCGAACCGGUAAAACCUCUAGCCCGCGACACCUUUGCUCCUCAAAUGGGCCUCCACAUGCGUCAAAUACCAAAAUCGGAGCGAAUACAUUAAAAUAGGCUUAGGGGACAUAAUCCAAUCAAAAAGACUCGAAAAACAACAAAAUUCACAAAAUUUACAAAAUUCGAGCCUAGGGCCCACGUCUUGAAAUCCAGAAUGUUUACAUCAUUAUCUCGCCACGAGUCCAUACAUACCAAAUUCACAAAAAUCGUAGUUUAUUUGGCCCCUUAAAUCACCAUUUCUAUACAAGAGGAUUUUCUACCCUUUUCAACAAAAUUCUCAAAUUAAACACCAAAACUUGCAAUAGAUUCGAGUGAUACAGCCAAAAUUAAGUUAAGAACACUUACCCCGUUAUUCUCUAAGAAAAUUUGUCCAAAAAUGCCCAAUCCGAGCUCCAAAUUGUCAAAAAUGGGAAAUGGGAUGAAUUUUGGACUUUAUUUUGCUACCCAGGGACUUGUUCUUUGCGUUCGCGGUCCACCACUCGCGUUCGCGAAGAACAUAGUUUCAAAAAUGCAUUUUCCAAACUCUGCUCAGACAGCCUUUACUGUAAUAGUCAUAACUUUUUACACACAACUCCAAAUGAAUAUGAUAAUAUAUUUAUGGAAACUAAAUUGAAAGAUCUACAAUUUUUAUUUUUGCAUCACCUCAACAUUCCGUGCAGAUAAAAAGAUAUGAGCUUUCUAAGUAGGACUUGAAUGUGAUAUGAGCUUCCGAUAAAAAGAUAUGACGUGAACCAGUGUCACGAACGCGAAGAACAAAAGUCCCAGAUGACAAUUCCUUCUUCGCGAACACGAAGCACUGUCGAAAAUGCAAAGACCAAAAGUCCCAUAAACCAAUUUCUUCUUUGCGAAUGCGAUAGGACCUCACAGACGCGAACGACAACACCAGAUACUAGCAACAACAAUUCGAAACCUUUUAAAAAUGACCCGUUUGCCAUUCGAAAUCACCCCGAGGCCCUCAGGACCUCAACCAAAAGCACAGAUAUGUCCUAUUACCUUAUUCAAACUUGCUCAAACCACAAAAAUACUAUAGUUAACAUCAAAAUCGUCAAGUUUCAUCAAAUCAAGGCUUAAGUUUAACUAAAACUUUCAAAACUCACAUUCAAUAAAAAACCCGACCUAAGCCCCUCC
rnacentral:lncRNA from 1 species